rnacentral:rRNA from 1 species
CAGUUCGGACUGGAGUCUGCAACCCGACUCCACGAAGUUGGAUUCGCUAGUAAUCGCGCAUCAGCCAUGGCGCGGUGAAUACGUUCCCGGGCCUUGUACACACCGCCCGUCAAGCCAUGGGAGCCGGGGGGCGCCUGAAGUCCGGGACCGCGAGGACCGGCCUAGGGCGAAACUGGUAACUGGGGCUAAGUCGUAACAAGGUACC